UACGGAGGGUGCAAGCGUUAUCCGGAUUCACUGGGUUUAAAGGGUGCGUAGGUGGGCAGUUAAGUCAGUGGGGAAAUCUCCGGGCUUAACCCGGAAACUGCCAUUGAUACUAUCUGUCUUGAAUGUCGUGGAGGUAAGCGGAAUAUGUCAUGUAGCGGUGAAAUGCUUAGAUAUGACAUAGAACACCAAUUGCGAAGGCAGCUUACUACACGGAUAUUGACACUGAGGCACGAAAGCGUGGGGAUCAAACAGG
rnacentral:rRNA from 1 species